rnacentral:rRNA from 1 species
UACGUAGGGUGCGAGCGUUGUCCGGAAUUAUUGGGCGUAAAGGGCUCGUAGGCGGUUUGUCGCGUCGGGGGUGAAAACCAUGGGCUUAACUCAUGGCUUGCUUCCGAUACGGGCAGACUAGAGGUAUGCAGGGGAGAACGGAAUUCCUGGUGUAGCGGUGAAAUGCGCAGAUAUCAGGAGGAACACCGGUGGCGAAGGCGGUUCUCUGGGCAUUACCUGACGCUGAGGAGCGAAAGUGUGGGGAGCGAACAGG